GUCCACGCGGUAAACGAUGAAUACUAGGUGUUGUGGGUAUUGACCCCUACAGUGCCGACGCUAACGCAUUAAGUAUUCCGCCUGGGAAGUACGGCCGCAAGGCUAAAACUCAAAGGAAUUGACGGGGCCCGCACAAGCGGUGGAGCAUGUGGUUUAAUUCGACGCAACGCGAAGAACCUUACCCAGACUUGACAUUGAUGGAAUCCCUCGGAAAUGAGGGAGUACCCUUCGGGGACCUUAAACAGGUGCUGCAUGGCUGUCGU
rnacentral:rRNA from 1 species